GACGAACGCUGGCGGCGCGCUUUAUACAUGCAAGUCGAACGUGAAGCUCGGAGCUUGCUCCGGGUGGAAAGUGGCGAACGGGUGAGUAUCACGUGAGAAACCUGCCCCGAAGACCGGGAUAACACCGGGAAACCGGUGCUAAUACCGGGAUGCCCUCACCGGAUCGCAUGGUCUGGUGAGGAAAUGGAUUCCGCUUCGGGAUGGUCUCGCGGCCUAUCAGCUUGUUGGUGGGGUAAUGGCCCACCAAGGCUUCGACGGGUAGCUGGUCUGAGAGGAUGUCCAGCCACACUGGGACUGAGACACGGCCCAGACUCCUACGGGAGGCAGCAGUAGGGAAUCUUGCACAAUGGACGAAAGUCUGAUGCAGCGACGCCGCGUGU
rnacentral:rRNA from 1 species